rnacentral:tRNA from 1 species
GCCCCGGUAGCUUAGAGGUAGAGCGGCGGCCUUGUAAGCCGCAGGUCGCGGGUUCAAAUCCCGCCCGGGGCUCCA